AGCUCACUGCAUUUAGGAAGCGGUUUGAAGGAUCGAAGCCUGAAGCAGUUGACCUUUCCCACCUCUCUUUCCAGGAUGCUGGAGACUUCUCAAAUGGCUUUGAAUGUCAAGCAAUCAGAAGAAGUAAAGUCUGGAAGACCUGAAAAACAUUAAUAAUUUUUUUGAACCUCAAGGGUAGUUUUUAUGGAAGAUACUCUAUCCUUGUAAAACAUUAUGGUUUGUUGGUGCUGAAAUGCCAGAAGGAUUUGUAGUGACUUUCACCAAACCACCUGAAAAGUAGGUCAGUAGCUAUACAAUUUCAAGAGAUCUGCAAUGCUACAGCAGAAACUGAGUUAAUCCUGAUGUAUAUGAUGAAUAUUCCUCCUAACCUCUCUGCAGGGGACAGUGUGGACAUGAAUAUAUCUUCAUUAAUCUUUACUCGACUGGUUAUUUCCAAAGGGGAGGGCCUCGUGACAUUUUCUUUUUCAUUAAAUACCAUGGGGCCAAAUCUCUUGAGCUCAUUUGUUCAAACAGAGGCAUC